ACAGCAGCAGCCGCGGUAAAACGUAGGGUGCAAGCGUUAAUCGGAAUUACUGGGCGUAAAGCGUGCGCAGGCGGUUUGCUAAGACAGAUGUGAAAUCCCCGGGCUCAACCUGGGAACUGCAUUUGUGACUGGCAAGCUAGAGUAUGGCAGAGGGGGGUGGAAUUCCGCGUGUAGCAGUGAAAUGCGUAGAUAUGCGGAGGAACACCGAUGGCGAAGGCAGCCCCCUGGGCCCAUACUGACGCUCAUGCACGAAAGCGUGGGGAGCAAACAGGAUUAGAUACCCCUGUAGUCCCUGUCUCUUAUAC
rnacentral:rRNA from 1 species